CUGCAAUGAUGGCAUUUCUUAGAACACCUUUGGAUUAAUCAUGAAAACAACUAUUCUUUGAAAAGCUGC